UGGCGACCGGGGGGGGCAUGGCCGUUGCGAGCAUGUAUAGUUGAAGGGUGUAGCCCAGAAAUUUCGGAAUGACGAAAAAAAAUUCCGAAUAUUUCAUCGCUUACGAAGCCACAAAGGUAUUUGCUAUCCGGAAAAUGAAUACGCAAUGGACCAUUUGCAGUAUAGACUAAAUUUUGAUAUAGGUUUCGUUGCGAAAUGUUGUAAAAUGGCCUUCGAAAUUUGCAUUUUUCAGUUAUUUUAAACUACAAACGGGAAAUUGAUGCCCCAACACCCGAUUCAGCUGUCGAUUUCCCGAUUUUACAAAUAUAGCAAUUUAUGCUGAAUUAGAAAGGAUACCAUUAGUUGGACAUGUACAAAUUUCUUUGCAUGUCGUUAAAUGCUGGCUACACAUUGAGGAUGCAAGUUUUUAUAUCUGCCUGGCGAUGCUGCUGGAGUGUGUAUGCAUAUAUUAAUC